UAAGGCCCUGAUCGAAGCCGGGUUAGAGGAUUAUCAGUAGCUAGCUCGGUCAAACAGAGGCCGACAUAGAGGCUUUUCCUUGACGGUCGCUGCUCCGGCUGCUCUGUGCUGGUGCCCAGCAACAUUGUAGGGAAAUACAGCA